GACGAACGCUGGCGGCGUGCCUAAUACAUGCAAGUAGAACGCACAGUUUAUACCGUAGCUUGCUACACCAUAGACUGUGAGUUGCGAACGGGUGAGUAACGCGUAGGUAACCUGCCUGGUAGCGGGGGAUAACUAUUGGAAACGAUAGCUAAUACCGCAUAAUAUUAAUUAUUGCAUGAUAAUUAAUGGAAAGGUGCAAUUGCACCACUACCAGAUGGACCUGCGUUGUAUUAGCUAGUAGGUGAGGUAACGGCUCACCUAGGCGACGAUACAUAGCCGACCUGAGAGGGUGGUCGGCCGCCCUGGGACUGAGACACGGCCCAGACUCCUACGGGAGGCAGCAGUAGGGAAUCUUCGGCCAUGGACGAAAGUCUGACCGAGCAACGCCGCGUGAGUGAAGAAGGUUUUCGGAUCGUAAAGCUCUGUUGUAGGAGAAGAACGGGUGUGAGAGUGGAAAGUUCACACUGUGACGGUAUCUUACCAGAAAGGGACGGCUAACUACGUG
rnacentral:rRNA from 1 species